AAAAUCUCAGAUUUACUUAAACCAAUGGUGCUUUGAACUGUUUUCCAUGCACAAUAGGCAACAAUAGUCUUC